rnacentral:tRNA from 1 species
GUCUGGUAUUCAAGAAUGAUUUUAAAUUGCAAAUUUGAAGGUGAAUUUAAAUUCCUAGGCUUA